rnacentral:rRNA from 1 species
CCUANGGGUGGCUGCAGUGGGGAAUAUUGGACAAUGGGCGCAAGCCUGAUCCAGCAAUACCGCGUGUGUGAAGAAGGCCUUAGGGUUGUAAAGCACUUUCAAUGGGGAGGAAAACCUGCCGGUCAAUACCCGGCAGCUUGACAUUACCUUUAGAAGAAGCACCGGCUAACUCCGUGCCAGCAGCCGCGGUAAUACGGAGGGUGCGAGCGUUAAUCGGAAUUACUGGGCGUAAAGCGUGCGUAGGCGGUUACUUAAGUCAGAUGUGAAAGCCCCGGGCUUAACCUGGGAACGGCAUUUGAUACUGGUUAACUAGAGUUUACUAGAGGGGAGUGGAAUUUCAGGUGUAGCGGUGAAAUGCGUAGAUAUCUGAAGGAACACCAGUGGCGAAGGCGACUCCCUGGAGUAAAACUGACGCUGAGGUACGAAAGCGUGGGUAGCAAACAGGAUUAGAUACCCUANUANUC